UUGGUCAUAAAUCACACCCUUUUCUAGUAAGAAAAAAUAUUCUAUAUAUAAAGGUGUCGUCUCAAUGUGACACAUGGAACAUAUUACCUUUAUGAAGUGAAAAAAAAUUAUAUGGAAACAAAGACCUAUAAACGCAGGAACGCAGGCUUAUAUCUAAUGCUUAACCCUUCCUACCUUUCUCUUAAGUCUACUUCUACUUCUUAGUCAUAUACUUGUGUGUGUCCGCUAUUGUCAUAAAAAUUCUUAAUAUCUAAUAAAAUUAGUAGAUUUAGCUAACAAAGUCCUUAUAUUUGAAUAAAGUAACAUUACUUUUUAGUGGAAAAUUGUUUUAACGUUAAUUUAAGCUUAAAUUAAAAAUUGUUUGCUAGCCCCUCUCUGUGAUUAAUGAAGAUAACUCAGGUCAAUUUUCCUAACAUUCUAUCAUUAUGGGGAGAUAAU
rnacentral:lncRNA from 1 species